UUCUCCUCCACGCACACCGCACCACGCUACCGCCCUCAAGCCUCUCCUGCCCGAUCCAAGCCACAGCCAUCGCCUGGCCCCCAACGCCGCCACGCACAGGCUGCCGCGUCUUGUUGCCGCCCCGCUCUUUCAGGGGACAGUCCGCAAAACCGCCGAUCUGUGGCGGGCUGGCGGCAGCUGAUAUGCUUCCCUGCCAUCCCUGGAAGUCUGGAGCGGCGGUGUAGAAUGACCUCUCGCGACCAGAAACUCUGCACUAGUUAUGUUGCAGCUGGCCGUUCUUUACUUCUUUCUGUCACCAGUCACCGAGCUGCACGAUGCCUAGAUUCGCGCUGAAGAGGCAAUUGAUCUUUUUAGUAUCAAGUGCAAAGAUCUGCGUCAAGCGAGAAGCCGCGAACGUCCGGGUGAUGGUUGCUUUCAGGGGAUUUAUUCUGUGAGAAGGCAUUUCUGGAUGCUGAGCACACGAGGCAAGAAAAUUUUCAGAAGCCAAAUUUUGGAUGAUGCCGACGUGUACGGUAUUCUACUGUAAGCUUAUGUAAAUAUGGUCUUCUAAUCCUAGGUGACCCGUUAAUUAAGGGAAGCCUGACCCUUUUUGUUUUACUUUGUUCCAAUUACCAGUUAAUGUAAAUCUUUUCGAAAAGGAGAAAAAGGUAUAGCUUUCAGUCGGAAGUCGUUCUUCUUUGACUUAAAACAACAGAAUGUAAUUGAGCAAAACCAUUGAGUUUUCUAUGGCAUCAGGCCCUGCUUAAUUCAGUA